rnacentral:rRNA from 1 species
ACAUGCAGUCGAACGAUACUACAAGGGCUUGCUCUUCAGGAAAGUGGCGCACGGGUGCGUAACGCGUAUGCAACCUACCUUAAUCAGGGGGAUAGCCCGAAGAAAUUCGGAUUAACACCGCAUAAAAUCACAGUACAGCAUUGUACAAUGAUCAAAUAUUUAUAGGAUUAAGAUGGGCAUGCGUGUCAUUAGUUAGUUGGCGAGGUAACGGCUCACCAAGACCACGAUGACUAGGGGAUCUGAGAGGAUGACCCCCCACACUGGUACUGAGACACGGACCAGACUCCUACGGGAGGCAGCAGUAAGGAAUAUUGGUCAAUGGAGGCAACUCUGAACCAGCCAUGCCGCGUGCAGGAAGACAGCCCUCUGGGUCGUAAACUGCUUUUAUUCGGGAAUAAACCUACUUACGUGUAAGUAGCUGAAUGUACCGAAGGAAUAAGGAUCGGCUAACUCCGUGCCAGCAGCCGCGGUAAUACGGAGGAUCCAAGCGUUAUCCGGAUUUAUUGGGUUUAAAGGGUGCGUAGGCGGCUUAUUAAGUCAGGGGUGAAAGACGGUGGCUCAACCAUCGCAGUGCCCUUGAUACUGAUGAGCUUGAAUACACUAGAGGUAGGCGGAAUGUGACAAGUAGCGGUGAAAUGCAUAGAUAUGUCACAGAACACCGAUUGCGAAGGCAGCUUACUAUGGUGUUAUUGACGCUGAGGCACGAAAGCGUGGGGAUCAAACAGGAUUAGAUACCCUGGUAGUCCACGCCCUAAACGAUGAAUACUCGCUGUUAGCGAUACACAGUUAGCGGCUAAGCGAAAGCGUUAAGUAUUCCACCUGGGGAGUACGCCCGCAAGGGUGAAACUCAAAGGAAUUGACGGGGGCCCGCACAAGCGGAGGAGCAUGUGGUUUAAUUCGAUGAUACGCGAGGAACCUUACCCGGGCUUGAAAGUUAGUGAAUGAUCUAGAGAUAGAUCAGUGAGCAAUCACACGAAACUA